UCGAAACGCAGCGCUGGAUCGUCGACGUCCGGCCGGGAAGCGCAUAUCUCGAUCAUCGACGACGUCGCGACCGACACCGGCCGGGACGACAAGACGGUUUUCGGGCCGUCCCUGCGGCUCGGAGUCGCUUUCCGCAUCACCCCGCUCUUCGACUUGGGGCUUGAAGCGGCUCGAGAGCUGGAACUGGUUCAACGACGAAGCGCCGUCGAGCUUGGAGUCGACCGCGCUCGUCUUCCGCAUCCGGUUUUAAGUACGGAUCGCUUCCCACCCUCACCCCUACCCCUCUCCCUACAGGGAGAGGGGAUACAACUCCACGCCUACAAUCUCGACGCCCGCCCAUACUCCACGCCUACAAUCUCUACACCCGGGCGUUGGGAUUAAAGGCGUCCGAGUCCGGGCGGGCGUUCGAGUUUUUUGGGCGUCGAGUCUGGGCGGGCAACCAACUCCACGCCUACAAGCUCGACGCCCGCCCAUACUCCACGCCUACAAUCUCGACGCCCGGGCGUUGGGAUUGAAGGCGUCGAGCCCGGGCGGGCGUCGAGUUUUUGGGCGUCGAGCCUGGAAUCGGCCGUCCGUUCGCAUUCCGACGUCCUGCGUUCCCAUUCGGACGCCAUUCGCGACAACACCAUGGCCGAUUCAGAGCGUCCAAGCCGACUUGAGCAGAUCAACCGGGCGGAUCGAAUGGGUUGAAA
rnacentral:misc_RNA from 1 species